UGAUUAUGGCCAAAUCACUCCCUCUGUGCCUCAGUUUCCCUGUGUACAUAAUGGGGAAUACUAGCACUGCCCAUCUCCUGGGGGCACUGACAGCCCAUUCACGAUUGCAAGGAGCUUCGAUCCUAUGGCCAUGGAAGACGAGAGGAGGACCUGGGUAGGAAGAACCACGCAGACUGCAAGAGCUGGGGGAGGGAGGCAGGCAUCAAGGGAGGGUCGGGAAUUGGAGACGUUUCCUGAACAAAGCAGGACGUGGCAGGACAUCAGGAGCACCUCAAAGGAGGGAGUCCAGUUGUGCUCUCAGGUCACACCAGGGUCAACUCAGUCACCCCCAGCAGAGCAGAGAUCAGAGUAAGCCCCAGGUGUUGCUUAGCGCCCAAGUUUCUCUCUGCAAGGUGGAGGAUUCGAAGGAUGAACGAGUUCCAGCAUCUCUCCAGCACGAACCUACCCCUGAUGCUGGACUGAAGCGGGACGGGCUGCUCUCCCGGGCAAGGCGGGGGAGCAGGGCAACGUGACAGUGCAGCACGCACCUCGCAGCUGGGCAGGAGUCGCUGAGAAAUAACGUGUCAACAGGGGGAAAAAAAAACCAACCCCAACCUAAGUUGGCUCAGCAGAGACUUGGGCUGGCUCAGAAUCAAGGGCUCUGGCAGGGUUGAUCCAGGGAAAGCCCCUCCUCUGCCCCCAGCCAUGUCAAGGGUGCAGCAACAUUCGAUGUUGUCCUGGCAGAUUUCAGCAUCUCAGCAAAGUGAAAGUUGGGGGUGGGGAUGGCUGGUGUUGGGGGAACCAUGCGGUCUGGAGGUUAAGCCCCUGGACAGCACCAUAUCCUCUGCAUUCACCCUUCAUUCCCCUCUAGCUACCUGCCUUCCUUCUCUCAUCAUUGCCUGGCUCCCCCACCCCCACGCUUCUUCUGCCAUCCCUCCCUUCCCAACCCAAAACACGAGCAGUGACUGGGCCCCUGAAAUUCCAGGAGAUAAGGCUGCUGAAAGCUAAGCUGCGCCCCAUCAUCACCCAGCGCUGAGACAGAUGUUUGGUAACCGGCCAUGAGCCUCUUGGGCACAGGGACCCACCUCCCGCUCACUCGCCUCGAGCAGAACUGAGACAGACUCCGGUGCUUUCCCCUACCCCCACAUGGCGUCGGACCGUCCCCCCUCCGCACUUCAGAAGGCCAGGGUGGCUAGAUAGCGGGAAAAUAAGCUAAAGGCUUCACACAUCCUGGUAACCGUUGAAGGAACACGAUGGUCUCACCACAAAAAUUAGCAACAGAAUAAAAACCACCAGCUCGUCCUCUGAAAGGAGAAGGGGAGGCCAGGGCCGAGGGCUACCGACCACAGGCAGGAACUAGCCAGGGGCCCUGGGCUCAUUUUGAUCUGAAACUAGGCUUGAGCUAAGUACCAGUGAUGGACCUCCUUCAAAGUCAUCCUAAUGACCUUGGAACUCCCAACUGAAAGAGGACAUGAAAUUGUAUACAAGAUCCUUGGGUCCUGAUUCUGUCAUCUCAGAUCUGCUUAAGCUUCUUCAGGGGAAGUUUGAGUCGCAAGAUUGAGGUCCCAGUUAUGCCGGUAAACCCUGAAUGUGAGAUUUGGACACUGGACUAUAAACUAUGACCUAUUUCUGAAAGAAAUCUUUGCAACCACAAAGCUCACCAUCUCUGCUAUGAAUCUGCACCUAAAGGAACUGAACUCAUAUCUGGAUAAGAAAGCAGACCCAGCGAAAAUGCUCACAGUAAGAAACCAGCAGUUAGAACCCAAACAAAAGCAAAAAAUAGCUGAUAUGGAAGGAGAAGCUGCUGAAAGAGAACGCCUGGGGUUUGAACAUGAACAAAGAAUGGCAGAUAUUUGUUUGCAGGAACUAGAAGCUAAGGCAGAAGUGGACAGACUUAAGCUCCAACUCAAGAGAAUAAAGGAACAGCAGGAACUGUAUCAUCCAGAAAAGCCAGCUCCUCUCAACAGCAAAGAUGUGGCUAGAAUCUAUCCAGUUUGUAACAAUGUUGGUCUGUUGUUUGACUCUAAGCAGUUGUCUGUGUGUAACCAAAUUUACC